rnacentral:rRNA from 1 species
ACGAAGGGUGCAAGCGUUAAUCGGAAUUACUGGGCGUAAAGGGUGCGUAGGCGGUUCGUUAAGUCUGUCGUGAAAUCCCCGGGCUCAACCUGGGAAUGGCGAUGGAUACUGGCGAGCUAGAGUGUGUCAGAGGAUGGUGGAAUUCCCGGUGUAGCGGUGAAAUGCGUAGAGAUGCGGAGGAACACCGAUGGCGAAGGCAGCCCCCUGGGCUAACACUGACGCUGAGGCACGAAAGCGUGGGGAUCAAACAGGA